ACGCUCGACACCUACGAGAGGCAGCAGUGGGGAAUAUUGCACAAUGGGGGAAACCCUGAUGCAGCAACGCCGCGUGAAGGAAGACGGUUUUCGGAUUGUAAACUUCUGUUCUUAGUGAAGAUAGUGACGGUAGCUAAGGAGCAAGCCACGGCUAACUACGUGCUAGCAGCCGCGGUAAUCUGAGCGGGCUGGCAAGGC
rnacentral:rRNA from 1 species